GCGUCGAGCCCCUCGCGCAAGACCUGACCUCAAUGUUUUGUUCGUUCGGCUCGCGUUA
rnacentral:pre_miRNA from 1 species